AGACAUAAGGGGAGUCUGGCUGCAAAAUCUGUGACCCCACUGAUUGCCAGGGUUGAUUUGGAGGCUCUGGUUGUUUAGCUUGGUGCCCCCUUCCUCAAUGCUCUGUGUGUCCCUUCUGAAGCUGUGCAUCUGGUUAGUGACAACCUUCACUAACAGAGGAGAAUAAUCUUUGGUCAAAAAUAUUAAGAGACUGUCCACACUCACAUAACGAAGUGU
ensembl:misc_RNA 7SK 7SK RNA